UUGCCAGCCCGCUCAAGAACUUAAGGAAUUGACGGGACCGCACAAGCAGCGGAGCGUGUGGUUUAAUUCGAUGCUACACGAAGAACCUUACCAAGGUUUGACAUGUAAGUGGUAGUGAUCUGAAAAGUGAACGACCCUUCGGGGAGCUUACACAGGUGCUGCAUGGCUGUCGUCAGCUCGUGUCGUGAGAUGUUCGGUUAAGUCCGCUAACGAGCGCAACCCUCACUGUGUGUUACAUGUGUCACACGGGACUGCCGGUUUUAAGCCGGAGGAAGGCGAGGAUGACGUCAAGUCAGCAUGGCCUUUAUAUCUUGGGCUACACACACGCUACAAUGGUCUGUACAAUAGGUUGCCAAGCCGCGAGGCGGAGCCAAUCCUUAAAGCAGGCCUCAGUUCAGAUUGCAGGCUGCAACCCGCCUGCAUGAAGAUGGAGUUGCUAGUAACCGCAGGUCAGCUAUACUGCGGUGAAUACGUUCCCGGGUCUU
rnacentral:rRNA from 1 species